AAAAACACUGUGAUAAGAAAUAGUAGAAAUGAAGAGUCUUUUACAGAGAGUUUCCGGUUGGUGAGAGGAGCAUAAGAAGUCAUUUUGAACACAUCUUUGAGUUGAACACCGAAACCUAAAUAGGAAGUAGACUGUUUCCGGGUGCGCCCGUUAUAGUGCCGGAGUAUAAGCUAUUAUAAAUAGCCGUACUUUUAGAGGUUAAGUAGGCGACUAUUUAACAAAUAGAGGUGGGACCGUGGAAGUGAAUACUUUCGCCCUCUAA
rnacentral:ncRNA from 1 species